GACGAACGCUGGCGGCGUGCCUAACACAUGCAAGUCGAACGGAGUGUUUAUUUAUAAACACUUAGUGGCGAACGGGUGAGUAACGCGUAGACAACCUACCCUCUAGAUGGGGACAACACCGCGAAAGUGGUGCUAAUACCGAAUGUUGUAAUGUUGUUGCAUAAUGAUAUUAAGAAAGGUGGCCUCUAUUUAUAAGCUACCGCUGAAGGAUGGGCCUGCGUCUGAUUAGCUAGUUGGUGGGGUAAAGGCCUACCAAGGCGACGAUCAGUAGCCGGUCUGAGAGGAUGAACGGCCACACUGGGACUGAGACACGGCCCAGACUCCUACGGGAGGCAGCAGUGGGGAAUCUUCCGCAAUGGGCGAAAGCCUGACGGAGCAACGCCGCGUGAGUGAAGAAGGUCUUCGGAUUGUAAAGCCCUGUUUAAAGGGACGAAUGGUCAGAUUGUGAAUAAUGAUUUGACAUGACGGUACCUUUGGAGGAAGCCACGGCUAACUACGUGCCAGCAGCCGCCGUAA
rnacentral:rRNA from 1 species